rnacentral:rRNA from 1 species
GCAAAUCAAAUGCUUUGAUUAAAUAUUAAAAUUAUUUUGUUUUUAUAAUGGAAAUUAACUUGUGUAUUUUUAUAUUAGUAGUUUUUGAAUGUUAUAUUUAUUAUUAUAGUUUAUUUUUACAGUGAGGGAUUUUUGAAAUAUGGUUUUUAUUGUUGAGAAGAAAUGUAAUAUGUACCUUUUGUAUCAGGGUUUAUUAAAAAUGAUGAAUUUAUUUUUUUUAUUCUCGAAUUGGGAAGAGCUAUUUAAUUAUGAUUGUUAUUGUGACAUAAAUAUGUUUAAUAAUUGGAUGGUAGUGAUAUGUUAUUCGUUUUCUAAGAUAUCUAGUUUUUCAAGAUGGAAAUUUAAUUUUGGAUUUAAUUUUGUUUAUCAUAGAUUGUUAUUUUAUUAUUGAAUGUUAAUUAGAUUAAUUCUUAAUGUUUUGGGGAUAAGCUUGAAAUAUUUGAUUAUAAUUUUUUUUUUGUUUUGUUUAUUAUGUGGGCUUUAAAAUGGCUAUUAUUAAUGAUUUUGUUAUAAUUAUUGUUGUUGUUUAUUUUUUUUUGUGUUUAAUUUAUUUAUUGAAAUAUUUUUAUUAAUUUGUUAUUAAAUAUUAAUAAUGAUGGAAUUAGUAGAUUAAUUUUGUUUAUAAUAUGUGAUUGGAAAAUUUAUGUUAAGGAACUCGGCAAAUAAUAUUGUUCGCCUGUUUAUCAAAAACAUGUCUUUUUGUAUUAAUUUAAAGUCGUGCCUGCCCAGUGAAUAUUUAAAUGGCCGCGGUAUUUUGACCGUGCAAAGGUAGCAUAAUCAUUAGUCUUUUAAUUGAAGGCUGGAAUGAAUGGUUUGACGAAACAAUAACUGUCUCGGUAUUAAUAAUUGAAUUUUAUUUUUGAGUUAAAAGGCUUAAAUAGUGGUGGGGGACGAGAAGACCCUAUAGAUCUUUAUAGUUUAAUUUUAAUUAAAUUAUUGGUUGUUAUUUAUUUAUUUGAAAUGAAAUUAUUUCGUUGGGGUGAUGAGAGAAUAAAUUAACUUCUUUGUUAUUUAACUAUGAUGAUUGAUUUUUUGAUCCUGUAUUAUGGAAUAUAAGAGUAAGAUACCUUAGGGAUAACAGCGUAAUUUUAUUGGAGAGUUCAUAUUGAUAAUAAAGAUUGCGACCUCGAUGUUGGAUUAAGAUUAUGAUUUGGUGCAGUAGCUAAAUUAAUUGGUCUGUUCGACCAUUAAAUUCUUACAUGAUCUGAGUUCAAACCGGUGUAAGCCAGGUUGGUUUCUAUCUUCAUUGAUAAUAUAUAUAUUUUAGUACGAAAGGAUUAAAUAUAUUAAAUAUUUUAUAUUUUGUGAAUUAGUUUGCUAUAUUGGCAGAGAAGUGCAAUGAAUUUAGAAUUCAUAUAUGUAAUUAAUUACAU